UGUAUGGUUAAGUGACUAAGCGUACACGGUGGAUGCCUGGGCAGUCAGAGGCGAUGAAGGACGUACUAACUUGCGAUAAGCGCAGAUAAGGCAGUAAGAGCCGUUUGAGUCUGCGAUUUCCGAAUGGGGAAACCCAACUGCAUAAGCAGUUACUGUUAACUGAAUACAUAGGUUAACAGAGCAAACCGGGGGAACUGAAACAUCUAAGUACCCCGAGGAGAAGAAAUCAACCGAGAUUCCGGUAGUAGCGGCGAGCGAACCUGGAUUAGCCCUUAAGCACUCGGUGAAGUAGGUGAACAAGCUGGAAAGCUUGGCGAUACAGGGUGAUAGCCCCGUAACCGACGCUUCAUCGAGCGUGAAAUCGAGUAGGGCGGGACACGU
rnacentral:rRNA from 1 species